CUAAAGAAAGUCCAUUCAUUUAAAAAAAAUUAUUUACGCGCCAUGUAUUCACCAAAAAUUCCCGCUCUCUACUGCACGAAAUAAAAUCCCUUAAAAAUAUAAGGAAUAGGGCGGUUUGAUGAGAGAGAGGGAGGGGUUUAAGAUCGGCCAGUCAUAGAAACUCCCUCGCAUCACCUUCACAAGCUAACCCUAGUCCACCUCUACUGUUAUCGGUUUCACAAUGUCUCCUUCAAAUUCACCCCAAACCCAACAACUCGAAGCCAAACUAAUCUUGCCAUCCAUCAGGAAGCCCCAAUAUGUGAAUCCUUUGAUUCACUGAAAUCAACCAAACAAUUCCCUAGAGAGAGUUCCGACAAAUUUGAUCGAAGAAGCGAGCAUCGGCGAUAAAAAUGCUCUCCUCUGCAUAUUUGGCAAUCGUUUUUCUGAGGACAGAUACCAGCCGAUUUUGUAAAAUUUGCAGAUAGCAAAAUGCCAAACUUACAAAUUCCCAUAUCAUUAUUGGUUUUGUCUGGUCUUUCUAGCCUUAUAUCUGAUCCAGUAUCAGAGGUAAAUAUGCUGAUCUUGAUGGUCACUAAUUGAAGCAUCUUUUGGAUGAAGAAAUGUGCCAAUAACUUGUGUUUUACAUACCAACGGCUAUAACAAGUUAUGAAAGGUUAUAUAUUUAUUCCCUAUAUUUUAAUUUAAGUUUAUAUACAUUUUAUAACAUAGACGUAUGUAUGGCUCCUGAAAUCAAACACAGCUAAGCUACUGGCAGAGCAUCAACGGCAGCUGAAAUAUAUAUGCAGGAAUAUGACCUUACACAUAAGUUAAGUACCUCAGUAC